rnacentral:rRNA from 1 species
UACGGAGGGUGCGAGCGUUAUCCGGAAUUACUGGGUUUAAAGGGUGCGUAGGCGGCUUGGUAAGUCAGGAGUGAAAGUUUGCGGCUCAACCGUAAAAUUGCUUUUGAUACUGCCAGGCUGGAAUCAGGAUGAGGUCAGCGGAAUGUGGCAUGUAGCGGUGAAAUGCAUAGAUAUGCCAUAGAACACCAAUUGCGAAGGCAGCUGGCUAGACCUGUAUUGACGCUGAGGCACGAAAGCGUGGGGAGCGAACAUG